AGUCCGAUAGCAAACAAGUACCGUGAGGGAAAAUUGAAAAGAACUUUGAAGAGAGAGUUCAAGAGUACGUGAAACCGUCUAGCGGUAAAGAGAGGGGUUCUCGAAGUUUCUGAGGGGGACUCAACCUUGGUGGUGCUUGGCCUGGGCGUAUUUGAUCAGCAAUGACUUUGCGUUUAGUCCCAUGUGCCUCCCGGACGCACUUUCUCCUCAGUUUACGGCAGGAACCGUUAGAUGUGGACUGAAGGCCCAGGGUGAAGUUGUUGGUUAUGCUGGCAGCCCUUGGUGUCCUAGCUUCGCGUCUGACGGGUAUGUAAGUGAACUCGUAUAGCGAGCGAUUCUCUAUUGCGGUUCGCAUUUCUCUGCCGAGUAGGUCGGUGGCCCCUCUCACCCGUCUUGAAACACGGAC
rnacentral:rRNA from 1 species